rnacentral:rRNA from 1 species
AAGGAAUAUUGCGCAAUGGACGAAAGUCUGACGCAGCGACGCCGCGUGGGGGAUGAAGGUCUUCGGAUUGUAAACCCCUUUCGGGAGGGAAGAUGGAGUAGGUAACCACUUGGACGGUACCUCCAGAAGCAGCCACGGCUAACUUCGUGCCAGCAGCCGCGAUAAUACGAAGGUGGCAAGCGUUGUUCGGAUUCACUGGGCGUACAGGGAGCGUAGGCGGUUAGGUAAGCCCUCCGUGAAAUCUCCGGGCCUAACCCGGAAAGUGCAGAGGGGACUGCUUGGCUAGAGGAUGGGAGAGGAGCGCGGAAUUCCCGGUGUAGUGGUGAAAUGCGUAGAGAUCGGGAGGAAGGCCGGUGGCGAAGGCGGCGCUCUGGAGCAUUACUGACGCUGAGGCUCGAAAGCGUGGGGAGCAAACAGGAUUAGAUACCCUGGUAGUCCACGCCUUAAACUAUGGAUACUAAGUGUCGGCGGUUUACCGCCGGUGCCGCAGCUAACGCAAUAAGUAUCCCGCCUGGGAAGUACGGCCGCAAGGUUG